rnacentral:rRNA from 1 species
CGUAGUUGGAUUUCUGGCGGGAGCAACCAGUCCUGCCCCUUGCGGGGUUGUGCACUAGUGUUGCAUCCGGCCAUCCUUGUGGAGAGCGUUUCUGGCAUUAAGUUGUCGGACUCGGGAUCCGCAUCGUUUACUGUGAAAAAAUUAGAGUGUUUAAAGCAGGCAUUUGCUUGAAUACAUUAGCAUGGAAUAAUAAGAUAGGACUUUGGUUGCUAUUUUGUUGGUUUGCGCACCAAGGUAAUGA